UUCCCUUGGCCUUGCCAGGGAUUCCAAAGUUGGCGAUUUGUGUGCGCGGGUCCUUGAAGUGGAUUGUGGAGUUAACCAUCCGCAUCGACGGCGUUCUGCGGGGCUUAUGUACUGACGACCCAAGCUAGAAGCUGGCUUUUUGUUAGAAUUCACAGUGAUUUUAUCGCCCAUUCGAUGGAACGAUUUAUUUGAGUGGUUUUCAGUUAUAUACUUAUUUUAAACAUGUUUUCAUAGACUUUUAUUUUAGAGUGAGAGUCUUGGAAGUAAUAGCUAGGAGCAAAACAUUACUUAAUUUCACGUAUAAGUUGCAGGUUAGAGCAGGUUCUGCUACGCGGGUAAUCAACACCUAGCCGGAAAGAAUAAUGGCAGGCGGUGGAUUCCUGGUCGCAAAAUGAAAGGGAGUCUCAUCCAAACAAAUUGGCGACAAUAGAACAACGGAAACGGAAACAAUGAAAAUGUUCUUGUAGCCACAGAAGCAGCAGCAGCAGCAUUUGCUAAUGGCCACCCUGAAGGGGAGAAAAUAAAAAGACUCCUGUCAGGA